CCACCAUUCUUACUCCGAGGAAACUCAAAAUUUAAGGUUUUUAAUUCAAGAUAAUCAAGAAUCUAUCUUCAAGAGCACAAAUAGGAAUUCAAAAUCAAGUGUUCUCAUCAAUUGCAUCAAUUAAGGUAUGUGGGAUUUUCAACAAGGAUAAUUCUUUUAUCCUUAUGCCCAAUAUUAGUUUUGAAGAUAAUUUACAUGAAUUUACAUGAGUUUCAAAUUAACGUUCAUA
rnacentral:lncRNA from 1 species